GUCUGUGAUGCCCUUAGAUGUUCUGGGCCGCACGCGCGCUACACUGACAGAGCCAACGAGUUCAUUCCUUGACAGAGAUGUCUGGGUAAUCUUGUUAAACUCUGUCGUGCUGGGGAUAGAGCAUUGCAAUUAUUGCUCUUCAACGAGGAAUGCCUAGUAAGCGCAUGUCAUCAGCAUGCGUUGAUUACGUCCCUGCCCUUUGUACACACCGCCCGUCGCUACUACCGAUUGAACGGCUCAGUGAGGCUUUCGGACUGGCUCAGGGAGGUUGGCGACGACCACCCAGAGCCGGAAAGUUAGUCAAACUCGGUCGUUUAGAGGAAGUAAAAGUCGUAACAAGGUUUCCUGCUGCAAAGUAUGGAAUGGAGUGAUCCUUCUGCAUAAACACUUGCUGAAGCCUUAGCUGCCCCAAAGGGUGGUCCUCCGCGACUAUAAAAAAGAAGGUCCUUAAAAGCUAGUCCGCAGAAAGCGGGCAACACUAUCAAAUUGCGGGAACACCCUAAAGAUUCAUGUACCAAGCGUCCUCUGGAAACAGAGGCGUGGCCGAGCUAACAGCCCUGGGUAUGGUAACAAUCAUGAAUAUGAAGCUUCGUGCUGAAAUGGGCGAUCCGCAGCCAAGUCCUAAGGCGUAUGCUAUGGAACGGGUUCACAGGCCAAAUGGUAGUGGGUGGCUCACGAGCUGCUUAAGAUAUGGUCGGGCCUCGAAGGAAACUUUGAGGGAAAGUUUAUGCUCAAUCAACCGUUCCGUAGGUGAACCUGCGGAAGGAUCAUUACCGAGAUGUUUUGGGUAAACCGAAACACUCCUCACCCUUGCUUAAACGUCAAGUUGCUUCGGCAGGCCUACAGUCGGCUUUCGAGCGGGCUAGCACCUGCCGAAGAUUAUACUCUGAAUACUUGUCAUUACGUCUCAAAAAAUAAACAAAAACUUUCAACAACGGAUCUCUUGGUUCUGGCAUCGAUGAAGAACGCAGCGAAAUGCGAUAAGUAAUGUGAAUUGCAGAAUUUUGUGAAUCAUCGAAUCUUUGAACGCACAUUGCGCCCCUUGGUAUUCCGAGGGGCACACCUGUUCGAGCGCCGUUUUAAAACUAAGGCUCAGCCUUGCGUUGACCGACUGCCUGGCACGGUAGCGGUUGAAAUAGAUAAAAACUCCAAAGAUGGAAGCAGUACGCAACAGUAUUCGUGACCAGCCUUCUGGGUCUUGAUUUUAUCUAGUAUGGCCUCGGAUCAGGUGGGGAUACCCGCUGAACUUAAGCAUAUCAAUAAGCGGAGGAAAAGAAACCAACAGGGAUUGCCUCAGUAACGGCGAGUGAAGCGGCAUCAGCUCAGAUUUGAAAGGUGGCACCAGCCCCCAUUGUAAUCUGCAGAGGAACGUUUGGCUGCGGUACGGGUCCAAGUCUUCUGGAAUGAAGCGCCUUAGAGGGUGAGAGCCCCGUAUUUGAUCCACAUCCAAAGCCGUGCAAACGUCCUUCGACGAGUCGAGUUGUUUGGGAAUGCAGCUCAAAGCGGGUGGUAAAUUCCAUCUAAAGCUAAAUAUUGGCCAGAGACCGAUAGCGCACAAGUAGAGUGAUCGAAAGAUGAAAAGCACUUUGGAAAGAGAGUUAAAAAGUACGUGAAAUUGUUGAAAGGGAAGCGCUCGCGACCAGAAUUGGCAGUAGUUGUUCCCCGCCUAGCGGUUACUCUUCUACUUUCAAGCCAGCAUCGGUUUCUGUGGCCGGAUAAAGGCUUUGGGAACGUGGCCCUCUUCGGGGGGUGUUAUAGCCCAUUGCACAAUACGGCCUACGGGGACCGAGGAACGCGCAUCUGCCAGGAUGCUGGCGUAAUGGUCGUUAGCGGCCCGUCUUGAAACACGGACCAAGGAGUCGUCCUCUUUUGCGAGUGUUAGGGUGUCAAACCCUGUACGCGAAAUGAAAGUGAACGGAGGUGGGAGCUUCGGCGCACCAUCGACCGAUCUGGAGAUCUUUCGAAGGAUUUGAGUAAGAGCAAAAGGGGUCGGACCCGAAAGAUGGUGAACUAUGCGUGAAUAGGGUGAAGCCAGAGGAAACUCUGGUGGAGGCUCGCAGCGGUUCUGACGUGCAAAUCGAUCGUCAAAUUUGCGUAUAGGGGCGAAAGACUUAUCGAACCA
rnacentral:rRNA from 1 species